rnacentral:tRNA from 1 species
UAGAGUACAAAGCUUAUAAAAGCAACUAACUGUUAAUUAGAAGACUGCGAACUAACCUAUAUCGCUUACUCUACCC